CCUACGGGAGGCAGCAGUGGGGAAUAUUGGGCAAUGGAGGAAACUCUGACCCAGCGACGCCGCGUGCGGGAUGAAGGCCUUCGGGUUGUAAACCGCUUUCAGCAGGGAAGAAGCGAAAGUGACGGUACCUGCAGAAGAAGCACCGGCUAACUAUGUGCCAGCAGCCGCGGUAAUACAUAGGGUGCAAGCGUUGUCCGGAAUUAUUGGGCGUAAAGAGCUCGUAGGUGGUUCGUCACGUCGGAUGUGAAAAUCUGGGGCUUAACCCCAGACCUGCAUUCGAUACGGGCGAGCUUGAGUAUGGUAGGGGAGUCUGGAAUUCCUGGUGUAGCGGUGGAAUGCGCAGAUAUCAGGAGGAACACCAAUGGCGAAGGCAGGACUCUGGGCCAUUACUGACACUGAGGAGCGAAAGCGUGGGGAGCGAACAGGAUUAGAUACCCUGGUAGUCCACGCCGUAAACGGUGGGCACUAGUUGUGGGGACCUUCCACGGUCUCUGCGACGCAGCUAACGCAUUAAGUGCCCCGCCUGGGGAGUACGAUCGCAAGAUUAAAACUUAAGGAAUUGACGG
rnacentral:rRNA from 1 species